AGAAGACGAUCAUAAUCAAGUUGUACAAAUUCUCAAGGAGCGGAUAUUGUACCAUCACUUACUUCUUGUAACUAUCAGAUAACUACACAAUCACACGUCGCUCUUUCAUGAGUACAACGAAUUCAUUAACAUGGCAGAAAACACUCUUCAAUCGCGGAAAUUUCUGCCAGUGAGAAGUCCACCAUCAUGUUUCUGGGGUUCCACUCCGGAUUUUCCCUGCUCAAUAUUCGGAGUACCUCGGAUAUUGAGCCAGUGUCUUCAUUUUCUGGAAUAAAAACUGCGACGACAAUGUAUCCAACAUUUGAUCUGACGCAUAAAAGAAGAGUGGCAAGGCGUACCUAUCACAAUGGAAAAUGUGUUCACAGUUUUUUCCUGCUUGAAUAGUAUUUGCAUCACAUCUCUUUACCUGCAUGUUCUGUAUGUAGCAUCCAUGAGACACAUCUCCUGCCCGUACAAUAAUAAUAGGCGCUUCAUCCACUUCGCUUGAUACACAAAUAAAAA